UAUGGCCAUAUAGCAUUGAAACAUCGCUUCCCAUAUGAUGACCAAAGUUAAGCAACGUCGAGACUGGUCAGUACCUAGAUGGGUGAUUGCUUGGGAAUAAACAGGUGCUGUAAG